GAUUCAACUGGUCUACAAUCUUGUAGUCACUCUUCUUGAUUAUCUUCAUAAACUCCUCCACGUCCUUCUCAAAUGACCCCUCGGGCGCUUCUUUCUGAACAGGUUCUUCCUCAACCACAGCUUGCUUACCCUUUGCUUUGGCGAGAGCUUCAGCAUUAUUGUCCCUCAAAGGCUGUGGUGCGAACAGACGACCGCUUCUGGUAAAACCUCCUGGACCCCCUACAUUGUCCACAGCCGGACCGACAGUUGCAGGAACUCUAUUCGGUAAACCAAUUGUCACUGGAGUUUGAUUCACUGGUCUUGUCUGACUUUCAGCCCUUCUGUAAUUGCGGUGAGCAUUAUCAUACUUCCACGGCACGGCUUUACUGUUCUCAAAAGCCCUCCUUCCCGACGCAACGAUAGUAGUUGGAGUACUGAUGGUUACAGGCACGGGAAUGGUAACCGGGGUACCAUUUGCUGCAGGUGCACUGACGACCCUUUGUCCACGUUCUUCAGACGGUUUAAAGUAAAUGGUGAUAGUUGACGCUGUUCCACGAUCUUU
rnacentral:lncRNA from 1 species